UACGAAGGGGGCUAGCGUUGUUCGGAAUCACUGGGCGUAAAGCGCACGUAGGCGGAUUUUUAAGUCAGGGGUGAAAUCCCGGGGCUCAACCUCGGAACUGCCUUUGAUACUGGAGAUCUUGAGUCCGGAAGAGGUAAGUGGAACUGCGAGUGUAGAGGUGAAAUUCGUAGAUAUUCGCAAGAACACCAGUGGCGAAGGCGGCUCACUGGCCCGAUACUGACGCUGAGGCACGAAAGCGUGGGGAGCGAACAGG
rnacentral:rRNA from 1 species